rnacentral:lncRNA from 1 species
GUCUUAGAUAUUUUAAAAACGUUGACCUUUAAUAGCUUAUUUUGUGGGGAAAUCUCUGAAAAACAAACAAUCAUUGCUUAGAAAAUUAAAUCGAAUUUGUAUCAAAGAUUUUUGAUACAUGUACAUAUGUGUUCUAUAUGCACUGACGCCUGACAAGAACUAUAGCAACUACGAAAAAAGAAAAAGCGUUCCGUAUGAAAAAUCAAAAUAAAAAAAUAG